CCUACGUGUGGCAGCAGUGAGGAAUAUUGGUCAAUGGACGAGAGUCUGAACCAGCCAAGUAGCGUGAAGGAUGACUGCCCUAUGGGUUGUAAACUUCUUUUAUAUGGGAAUAAAAUGUUCCACGUGUGGGAUUUUGCAUGUACUUUAUGAAUAAGGAUCGGCUAACUCCGUGCCAGCAGCCGCGGUAAUACGGAGGAUCCGAGCGUUAUCCGGAUUUAUUGGGUUUAAAGGGAGCGUAGAUGGGUUGUUAAGUCAGUUGUGAAAGUUUGCGGCUCAACCGUAAAAUUGCAAUUGAUACUGGCAGUCUUGAGUACAGUUGAGGUAGGCGGAAUUCGUGGUGUAGCGGUGAAAUGCUUAGAUAUCACGAAGAACCCCGAUUGCGAAGGCAGCUUACUAAACUGUGACUGACAUUGAUGCUCGAAAGUGUGGGUAUCAAACAGGAUUAGAUACCCGUGUAGUC
rnacentral:rRNA from 1 species